rnacentral:rRNA from 1 species
CCUACGGGAGGCUGCAGUGGGGAAUAUUGGACAAUGGGGGAAACCCUGAUCCAGCGACGCCGCGUGAGUGAAGAAGUAUUCAGGUACGUAAAGCUCUAUCAGCAGGAAAGAAAAUGACGGUACCUGACUAAGAAGCCCGUGCUAACUACGGGCCAGCAGCCGCGGGAAUACGUAGGGGGCAAGCGUUAUCCGGAUGAACUGGGUGUAAAGGGAGCGUAGGCGGAGGCGCAAGUCUGGAGUGAAAUGCCGGGGGCCAACCCCGGAACUGCUCUGGAAACUGGGAAGCUGGAGUGCAGGAGAGGUAAGCGGAAUGCCUGGUGUAGCGGUGAAAUGCGUAGAUAUCAGGAGGAACACCGGCGGCGAAGGCGGCUUACUGGACUGUAUCUGACGUUGAGGCUCGAAGGCGUGGGGAGCAAGCAGGAUUAGAUACCCGUGUAGUC